GGGAUUGAAGCUCAGUGAUAGAGUGCUUGCUUAGCAUGUAAGAAGUCUGGGUUCUAUCCCCAGCACCUCCA
rnacentral:tRNA from 1 species